rnacentral:rRNA from 1 species
UACGUAGGGUGCAAGCGUUAAUCGGAAUUACUGGGCGUAAAGCGUGCGCAGGCGGUUUUUCAAGACAGAUGUGAAAUCCCCGGGCUUAACCUGGGAAUUGCGAUGGAGACUGCAAGGCUUGAAUCUGGCAGAGGGGGGUAGAAUUCCACGUGUAGCAGUGAAAUGCGUAGAGAUGUGGAGGAACACCGAUGGCGAAGGCAGCCCCCUGGGUCAAGAUUGACGCUCAUGCACGAAAGCGUGGGGAGCAAACAGG